rnacentral:rRNA from 1 species
ACACUCCUGCGGGAGGCAGCAGUGGGGAAUUUUGGACAAUGGGCGAAAGCCUGAUCCAGCAAUGCCGCGUGGGUGAAGAAGGCCUUCGGGUUGUAAAGCUCUUUUGUCAGGGAAGAAACGGUGAAAGCUAAUAUCUUUUGCUAAUGACGGUACCUGAAGAAUAAGCACCGGCUAACUACGUGCCAGCAGCCGCGGUAAUACGUAGGGUGCAAGCGUUAAUCGGAAUUACUGGGCGUAAAGCGUGCGCAGGCGGUUUUGUAAGUCUGAUGUGAAAUCCCCGGGCUCAACCUGGGAAUUGCAUUGGAGACUGCAAGGCUAGAAUCUGGCAGAGGGGGGUAGAAUUCCACGUGUAGCAGUGAAAUGCGUAGAUAUGUGGAGGAACACCGAUGGCGAAGGCAGCCCCCUGGGUCAAGAUUGACGCUCAUGCACGAAAGCGUGGGGAGCAAACAGGAUUAGAUACCCCAGUAGUCCCAUGA